CAGUCGCCGCGGUAAUACGUAGGGCGCAAGCGUUGUCCGGAAUUAUUGGGCGUAAAGAGCUCGUAGGCGGUCUGUCGCGUCUGGUGUGAAAUCCCGAGGCUCAACCUCGGGCUUGCAUCGGGUACGGGCAGACUAGAGUGCGGUAGGGGAGACUGGAAUUCCUGGUGUAGCGGUGGAAUGCGCAGAUAUCAGGAGGAACACCGAUGGCGAAGGCAGGUCUCUGGGCCGCAACUGACGCUGAGGAGCGAAAGCAUGGGGAGCGAACAGGAUUAGAUACCCCCGUAGUCCCUGUCUCUUAUAA
rnacentral:rRNA from 1 species